GCAACUAUGAUUUAAUAGUAAAAUUGUCGAUUACUACCUAGAGUAUAUCGGUUUAAAUCCGACUAGUUGUA
rnacentral:tRNA from 1 species